rnacentral:rRNA from 1 species
AGAGUUUGAUCCUGGCUCAGGAUGAACGCUGGCGGCGUGCCUAACACAUGCAAGUCGAGCGAAGCACUUUUGUUCCAUUCUGCGGAUGAAGAUUUUGGUGACUGAGCGGCGGACGGGUGAAUAACGCGUGGGCAACCUGCCUAACCCAGGGGGAUAACAGUUAGAAAUGACUGCUAAUACCGCAUAACACCGCGCCACCGGAUGAUACAGAGGUAAAAACUCCGGUGGUGUAACAUGGGCCCACUUCUGAUUAGGUAGUUGGUGGGGCAACGGCCUACAAAACCGACAAUCAGUAUCCGACCUGAGAGGGUGACCGGCCACCUUGGAACUGAGACACGGCCCAGACUCUUACGGGAGGCAGCAGUGGGGAAUAUUGCACAAUGGGGGAAACCUUGAUGCAGUGACGUUGGGUGAGUGAUGACGUAUUUGGGUAUGUGAAGCUGUAUCAGCAGGGAAGAAAAUGACGUUACCUGAUUAAGAAGCCCCGGCUAACUCCGUGCCAGCAGCCGCGGUAAUACGUAGGGGGCAAGCGUUAUCCGGAUUUACUGGGUGUAAAGGGAGCGUAGACGGCUGUGCAAUCCAGAUGUGAAAGCCCGGGGCUCAACCCCGGGAUUGUAUUUGGAACUGCUUGGCUUGAGUGUCGGAGAGGCAGGCGGAAUUCUUAGUGUAGCGGUGAAAUGCGUAGAUAUUAGGAGGAACACCAGUGGCGAAGGCGGCCUGCUGGACGAUGACUGACGUUGAGGCUCGAAAGCGUGGGGAGCAAACAGGAUUAGAUACCCUGGUAGUCCACGCCGUAAACGAUGACUACUAGGUGUCGGGUAGCAAAACUAUUCGGUGCCGCAGCAAACGCAAUAAGUCGUCCCCCUGGGGAGUACGUUUGCAAGAAUGAAACUCAAAGGAAUUGACGGGGACCCGCACCAGCGGUGGAGCAUGUGGUUUAAUUUGAAGCAACGCGAAGAACCUUACCUGAUCUUGACAUCCCGGUGACGGGGACUUAACCGUCCCUUCUCUUUGGAGCACCGGAGACAGGUGGUGCAUGGUUGUUGUCAGCUCGUGUUGUGAGAUGUUGGGUUAAGUCCCGCAACGAGCGCCACCCCUAUCUUUCGUAGCCAGCAUUUUGGAUGGGCACUCUAGAGAGACUGCCAGGGACAACCUGGAGGAAGGUGGGGAUGACGUCAAACCAUCAUGCCCCUUAUGACCAGGGCUACACACGUGCUACAAUGGCGUAAACAAAGGGAAGCAGGCAGGUGAAUGUGAGCAAAUCCCAAAAAUAACGUCUCAGUUCGGAUUGUAGUCUGCAACUCGACUACAUGAAGCUGGAAUCGCUAGUAAUCGCGAAUCAGAAUGUCGCGGUGAAUACGUUCCCGGGUCUUGCACACACCGCCCGUCA